rnacentral:lncRNA from 13 species
GUUUUGUAAAUAAAUUUGUUCAUUUAUUCUUAAUGGAGCUAUUUUAAGAAAAUUUGUCACGUGCUGCACAAAGGGACUCAUGGCCCUGCUGUGUGAGUUAUCUUGCAAAGAUGUACUAGCAGAGGCAUUUAUAGCAGUGGUGUUCAUGGAGGGCCCUGAGAGAGAGCAAAAGUCAUCUGUAUGAACCGUCUGGAGCAAGUCCCUGGCUGUGUGGAAGGAGUAUUGCUCAAACUUCAGAAGAGUCUGCUUUAUAUACUUCCAGCAGAAAUGCCACAUUUCUGGUUUCUUUCACCAGCUGAAGGUGAACAGAUUUGAAGAAGUCUUUCAAACACGUUGGGGAUCAAACUGAGUUUUCACUGCGAGAUGGGGAAAAAAAUCACACUUGCUUUGGUGUCCAGAAGAAAGGCAGGUGUCAAGAGGUGCAAUGCUUCAUUUUAAAGUCACACUAGUCACAUGCAGCCUUUUCCCCACUGCACAGAAGUAGGCGAUACACCAGGGCAAGCUUGACAAUUCACCUCCAUGAGUGGAUUUUGUUUGUUCACUCCUACAAGCAAGUUCCAUGUCCCCAGAGAGUCCGCCCUGCUGCAGCUGAAACCC